UCUGUCGCCCAGGCUGGAGUGCAGUGGCGCAAUCUCGGCUCACGGCAAGCUCCGCCUCCCGGGUUCAUGCCAUUCUCCUGCCUCAGCCUCACGAGUAGCUGGGACUACAGGCGGCCGCCACCACGCCCGGAUAAUUUUUUGUAUUUUUAGUAGAGAUGGGGCUUCACCGUGUUAGCCAGGAUGGUAUCGAUCUCCUGACAUCGUGAUCCGCCCGCCUCGGCCUCCCCAAGUGCUGGGAUUACAGGCGUGAGCCACCGCGCCCGGCCUUGUUUGCUGAGACAAGGUCUGUUACUCUUCCCCAGGCUGGAGUGUGAAGGAACAAUCUUGGCUCACUGCCUGCCACAUUGAUCUCCCAGGCUCAAGCCAUAAUCUCACCUCAGCUUCCCAAGUAGCUGGGACUAUAGGCACAUGCCA
rnacentral:lncRNA from 10 species